GUAUUAAUUAUUAGAAAAACACUUCAGUGGCAGCUCCCAAUAACAUGCGUCUCGCUAAGUAGUCUUAAUUCAUCGCCAUAUAUCAUUUUUAUAUUUGUUCAAAUGUUAUAAAUUUUUUUUCUAAAAUUUAAUUUCUUUUGAAUUUGAAUAUUAAAAAAAAAAUCUAAUGAAUUAUUAGAUGAAGAUAAAACUAACAGGUACUAGCAAAUUGAGGGCGCUUCCAAUAUUGUGUCAUUUGGAGUUCCUUACAGAAGUUUUAUCAAUAUUUGUUGAAUCGCUU
rnacentral:lncRNA from 1 species